UUCACUGCGGAGGCUUACAACAGCAGUUAUGUGAAGCAUUAUUUUGAUUAUCUCGCUUGGAUUCCAUCGCCUUAUCACUAUGACGCUGACCAAAUAUUAGAUAUCGUUACUGUGAUUCUUUUGCCUUUUUCUAUGUUGAGUAAAAUAAAGGAUAAAGAUUACGAAAUGAAAAAAAUUAUUCUUGGUGAAUAUCUAAUGACUAAGCGAUAUUUGAUUGUGCUUGAUGAUGUGUGGAGCACAGAUGUAUUGGAUGAUAUUCGAGAAUCCUUCCGGAUAAUCAGAAUGGAAGUAGAGUAUUAAUAAAACUCACUCAAAUUAAGAUGGUCACCUCAUUUCAGCUCAAAGACGGAGAGAACAUUCGGCUUGAUUUAGUGCCCACUGGAGGACCAUUGAGAGCUACAUACCAAGGAUGGCCUUUCCUCAUCUUAUAUCAUGGAAGCAUCUCAUUCGAAGAAAAUAUAGUGGAAGCAAUCGAGACACCCUUAGGGCUUCUAACUGUAAUAUGUUGCAAGCUACCUUUUCACUUGAAACUUUGUUUUCUCUACUUAUCUGUGUUUCCCGCACACCUAGAGAUAUCCACCAGGCAGUUAUAUCAGUUGUGGAUAGCUGAAGGUUUCAUUCCAGACAACAGUGUGGCAAUUGCUGGGAAGUACUUAGAGCAACUAAUCAAUAGAGGCUUUGUUGAUACAAGGAAGAGAAGAGCUGGAGGCACUAUCAACACAUGCUCUGUUCGUGGUCGUUGCCGUCCUGUGUUGUUAACAGUGGCUUUCAAGGCAGAAUUUAUCUUUCUCUUGUUCAUGGAUUCAAAAGGUAAAUCACAAAAAAAUGUUAAAUGGGUCAGCGUUUUUGAAAAACAUAGUGAUUUUGUUCACUUAGAUGAUUAUGACUCGCACAUGCAUUCUUUGUUGUACUUCACUUCAAAAAGCGACCACCUUGACCCAAUAGAUUGGGAGAAAAUUUGCAGAAUGUUCAAAUUUCUCAGAGUAUUGGACUUGGGAUCUCUUGUUCUCAUCCAAUAUCCAUCCGGAAUUGAAAAUUUAUUUCUUUUGAGAUAUUUAAAGUUGAAUAUCCCUUCCCUCAAAAUCCUGCCUUCAUCAUUAUUAAGCAAUCUUCUGAACCUUUACACCUUAGACAUGCCCUUUAGCUAUAUAGAUCAUACAGCAGAUGAAUUUUGGAAGAUGAAAAAACUCAGGCAUCUAAAUUUGGGGUCAAUCACACUUCCUGCGCAUCCAGGAAAAUAUUGUGGCUCUCUUGAAAAUCUCAAUUUCAUUUCAGCCUUGCAUCCUUGCUGCUGUACUGAAGAUAUAUUGGGCAGACUACCUAAUCUUCAAAAUCUCUAGAUACAGGGAGAUUUAAGUUAUUAUCAAUCCUUGUUGUCCAAAAGCCUCUGCAGAUUGAGCUCUCUUGAGUCAUUGAAGCUGGCGAAUGAAAGCAAGAUGCCACGGUUCUCCAAAAUAGUCCUUGCUGAAUACUUAUUUCCUCAUAGUCUAACCCACCUGAGUUUUUCUAAUACUGACCUAAUGGACGAUCCCAUGCCGGCACUAGAAAAGCUGCCGCUUCUUCAAGUGCUCAAACUGAAGCAAAACUCGUAUUCAGGUAGAAAGCUGACUUGUGGUUCUGAUGGUUUUCCAAGGCUUAAGGUAUUGCACAUGAAAUCAAUGCUAUGGCUAGAGGAGUGGACUAUGGGGACUGGGGCAAUGCCAAAACUAGAAUGCUUGCUUAUCAACCCUUGUGCUUACUUGAAAAGGGUUCCUGAACAGCUCUGGUGCAUAAAGAGCUUAAACAAAUUCGAUUGCUGGUGGCCUCAGCCAGAGCUGAGACAAAAGCUACGGGAAUUCAAGGAUAAGGAGCAGUAUGGCGUUCAGCUUUAUCCUUACGGAAUUUGAUUAGCCCUGAUUGAGUUUGAUGUAAGUUUUUUCUUCUUCCCCAAUAACUUCAACCUUUAAUUAUUGAUCUAAUUUCAUAUAAAAGUUUUUUUUCUCCACAAUAGAUUUGAUAGUAUGCAGCUGCCUGAACUAUAAUCAUAAUAUAAAGUGUUUUCUACAUUCUAAUUGUGGUUGCUUCUAAUUUUUGUCUCAAGCCAAAGUUUCAAUUUCAACCAGAAUCCAGCCUUCAUCCUUUCAGUGUUCACUUCUGCUAAGUUGUCUACACGUUGUUUGGUUUCUUUGUUUUCAAGGAUUUGCAUGCUAAAAGUAAUAAUGUCAUGUUCGGAUUAAUAUAUUGUACAAAAGUUUGAUUAAUUGUUUUACUUUCUAUUUUCAGUUUCAUUGGUGUGUAUUCAAUUUGUCAACAUUCAAAUUGAUAUAUGUUAUGUUUUUAUUUUUAUUUUAUUUCUUUCUCUAGUUUUUAAGUAGUGGUACAGUUCUGUCAAGGAAGCUCAUAAUGCAUGGAAGGAAGCAGCACACGUGUGAGAUGAAUACAGUCAGCUGAAUCAAUUGAAGAGUGAAGUGCCAGCUCAGCUGAAGUUAGUUAGACACAUUAAGAUCAUAUUCAGUUAGCUUCUUUAUUUUCUGUUAAGCUGUAAACAGCUGAGUAUAAAUACAAGCAUCUUGUAAUCAUUUUGUUAUCAUGUAAAAAUGAAAUAAAGCAUUUGAUUCAGAAGUCUUUUACAAAUGUUCUUAGCACUUUAAAUACAUUUUCUCAGUAACCAAACAGUCUGUUCAUUCAAGCUUUUAAGCUUUCAAACAUGGUAUCAGAGCUAUACAGAGCUAGUUCCAAUAAUCAACAGUCAAGCUUUCGUAAUCAAACAACAAACAACACAAAUCAAUCUACUCAAAUCAACUUCUCCUUUACUAAACCUAUCAAGCUAGAUCGAUCAAAUUACUUACUCUGGCGCUCUCAAGUUUUAGCUUCAAUAAGAGGCAAUCGUUUGGAAGAUUUCGUCACAGGAGCCAAAUCAGUACCUGAUAAGUGUCUUCUGUUAACUGAAGCAGAUGGAUCUACACAACAAAUUGAAAAUCCAGAAUAUCAGAUCUGGAGAUCACAGGAUCAGACACUUCUUGGCUGGCUACUGUCGUCAUUAAGUGAAGGUAUCUUGAGUCUUGUUAUCAAUUGUGAGAGUUCAUUUGAUAUAUGGAAAACUUUGGAAAAGAAAUUUGGAGUUCAAUCUGAAGCUCGAGUUCUUCAACUCAGAUAUGAACUAAACACUCAUAAAAAGGAAGCUCUUAGUGUUGAAGAUUAUUGUAUUAAAAUGAAAGCAAUAGCUGAUAAGCUAGCCAGUGCUGGUAGUUCAAUUACAGAGAAGGAUUUUAUGUUAACUAUUCUUAAUGGAUUAGGACCAGGAUUUCGUGAUAUUGCUACACUUAUAACUGGUUCACGAAUGGAAUUUGAUGAUGCUUAUGCACUGUUACUCACUCAUGAGACUAGAUUAGAGCAGCAGCAAGGUGGCAGAAGUAUGUUUAAUGCAAACUAUGCAUAUACGAAUGCAUAUUAUCCUAGAGCUUAUUUUGCACAGCCUAGAGGAAAUUUUAAACGAGGAGGUUAUUCUGGUGGUAGAACUCCUUUCUUUGGCAGAGGAAAUAUGAAUUACUCUCCAAGAAUGUUUAAUGGAGGUGUUAGAAAUGGAUAUGGCAGAGGAUUUUUUCCUGGAAAUAACUCCACUGAUUUCAAUCAUUUUUCAGCUCCGAGGAAUCCAGUACCUAGGAACUCAUCCUUUCUAGCUAGAAAUGGUGCUAAUAUGAGUGGAUCACAAGGAAGCUUUAAUAAUGCUGGGGAGCUGGUAUGUCAGAUUUGCUUUAAGAAUGGUCAUACUGCUGAUGUUUGUUGGCACAUAUUUAUUGAAGACUUUGUACCUGUUCCAAGAGGUUUUGGCAGGGGAAAAACACCAAGAGCAGCAUAUUUCUCAAACUUUGAUGGCUCUACUUCUAAUCCAGAUUUUGGCUAUGAAAACAAUAAUAUGUUUCCAGGUUAUGAUUCUAUAUCUGGCAAUAGUUACUAUUCUGGAAUGGAUGGAUACACUUCUGGAGCAGCUGGAACAGCUUUCAUGGCUAAUUUUGAAGGGACUGCUGAUGAUGGAUGGUAUCUGGAUAGUGGGGCAACUCACCAUUUAACCAACAAUAUGGAGAAUUUGCAGAUCAAUGAAGAGUUUAAAGGUACUGAUCAGCUUAUCAUUGGAAAUGGUCAAGGUUUGUCUAUUACUCAUGUUGGACAUGCAUUUCUGGUAUUAAGAGCUUCUAAAUCUUUAUCUACACGUGCUAGAAUAACACUUAAAGAUGUGUUACUUGUUCCUUCAAUUACCAAAAAUCUAUUAAGUAUUUCCAAACUCACAUCUGAUAAUCCUGUAUCUGUUGAAUUCUGUGGAAAUGUUUGUUUUGUGAAGGACAUGAAGGGUCAAGUUCUUCUGCAGGGUAUUGCUGAAAAAGGCCUUUAUAAGCUGCUGCUGAAAUCUAAUUCUCUUUCUUCAUCACCUACAUCUUAUCCUUGUAAAUCCCAGCCAAAUAAACUAGUUUCUAUGUUAUCUGCUUUCAAACACUGUGAUAAUGGUACUCGAGCUUGCUAUCAGUCUGUUUUAAAUAAGUGUAAUGUCAAACCUGAUAUGAUAACUUUGUUACAUAGAAAGUUUGGUCAUCCAAGCUCAAUGACAUUGGUGCAUUUGCUCAAAUCAUGUAAACAGUUUAAAAUCUCUCCAAAAGAUAUGUUAUCUUCUGCAAACACUUUAUGUGAAGCAUGUCAGCUAGGCAAAGUCCAUAAGCAACAUUUCUUAAUAACUGAAACAAAAACAAAAGGGGUAUUAGAAUUGAUUCAUACUGAUCUUUGGGGGCCUUCACCUACUGUGUCUAGAGAUGGAUACAAAUACUACAUUAGUUUUGUGGAUGAUUAUACUAGGUAUUCUUGGAUCUAUCCUCUUAAGCUCAAAUCACAAGCAUUUGAAGUUUUUAAAUUGUUCAAAACUCAAGUUGAGAAUCAGUUUGAUACCAAAAUUAAGAAGCUACAAUCUGACCUUGGGGGAGAGUUUAGAGCAUUUAUUGAUUUUCUGAAUCAAAAUGGAAUAAUGUUUAGACACUCAUGUUCUUACACUCAUCACCAGAAUGGUAUUAUUGAAAGGAAACACAGGCAUAUAGUUACACCAGAAUGGUAUUGUUGAGAGGAAACACAUGCAUAUAGUUGAGCUAGGCUUAACCCUCAUGGCUCAAGCAAACAUUUUUCUUCAAUUCUGGUGGGAAGCUGUUCAUACAGCAGUGUAUCAUAUUAAUAGAUUGCCUACCCUUGUUCUGAAAUUCUUAUCUCCUUAUGAGAAACUUUUCAAACACAAACCAGAUUACACAUUCCUGAAGUGUUUUGGUUGUCUUUACUACCCAUACUUGAGGGAUUUUAACAAACAUAAGUUUGAUUUUCACACCUCUAAAUGAAUUUUUAUUGGAUACAAUCCCUCUUAUAAAGGAUACAAGUGCUUAGCAAGUUCUGGCAAAGUCUAUGUUCUUAGACAUGUCAUUUUUUAUGAAAACACAUUCCCUUAUCCAAUAAACACUACAUCUCACUCAUCAGAAAACCCCAUAUCUUCUGAAACCUCAGUGUCUAAUUUCUCUCAACAACAUAUCUAUCAUCUUUCUACAAUGGCCUUACCCAACAGCAGCUUUGAAGGUCUUCAAUCAGCAGGCUCAGCAAGAAGUGAACAAAUGCCCUCUGUUCCCACACAUACAGAUAUUCUGAAUCAACAAGAACAUCCAUCACACACAUCUUUAGAGUUAUCAUCCUCAACCUCACCAUCACCAAACACAUUGCCAGUACAAUCAUCCAUUCUACAAUCAGAGGAAACUUCUAUUCCACAGAACAUAGACCAAAUUCAAACCAGAAAUUAUUCCCAACCAUCUUCUCAUCCAAUGAUUACCAGAUCAAAAUCUGGAAUCUUCAAACCAAAGGUCUAUACAGUCACCUUAGCCAACAAAGAACCUAGUACAGUUCAAGAAGCUCUUAGUAGUCAGAAUUGGCAUCAAGCCAUGGUAGAUGAGUAUGAAGCUUUGAUAAAGAAUGAGACUUGGUCACUGGUACCAUUUUCAAAUGCAUACAAAGUAGUUGCGAACAAAUGGGUGUUUAGAUUUAAGCAAAAUACUGAUGGAAGCAUAGCCAAACACAAGGCCAGGUUGGUUGCCAAAGGUUUUCAGCAAACUGAAGGUGUGGAUUACUUUGAGACCUUUAGCCCAGUUGUAAAAGCUUCAACAGUAAGGAUUAUUCUGAGUUUAGCUGUGAUGCAUAAAUGGAAAAUAAGGCAAGUGGAUGUGAAUAACGCAUUUUUGAAUGGAGACUUGACAGAGGAUGUCUAUAUGUAUCAGCCUGAAGGUUUUAUUGAUCAACAAAAACCCAAUCAUAUAUGUAAGCUGAAGAAGGCCUUGUAUGGCUUGAAGCAAGCUCCUAGAGCUUGGUAUGACAAGCUUAAGAAUUGUCUUAUUGCUAAUUGGAAAUUUCAGAAUUCAAAGGAUGAUACCUCUCUCUUCUUCAAAGAAGUGCAGGGUUCAAUGAUACUUAUCUUAAUCUAUGUUGAUGACAUUCUAAUAACAGGACCUGAUAAUGGUGAGUUGGAAAAAUUCAUCUCAGAAUUUAGUAAGACUUUUGCCUUAAAAGACUUGGGAAUUCUGUCAUAUUUUCUGGGGAUAGAAGUUUCCUAUGCUGAAGACUGCAUCCAUCUAUCUCAGAAGAAAUAUAUCUUGGAUUUGUUAUCCAAAGCUGAUAUGCAAAAUUGUAAAGGCUGUGACACUCCCAUAGUUACUGGAACAAAGCUUCAGAAAGAAGUCAAAGGCUGUUUGGGUCAAUAUAUUGAGGAUGCAACAAGCUAUAGAAGCUUAGUUGGAGGUUUACAAUAUCUGGUAUUAACCAGACCAGAGAUAGCAUUUGUUGUGCAUAAGUUAAGCCAGUAUGUGACAGCUCCAACACUCCAGCAUGUUAUGGCUUGUAAAAGAGUUCUUAGAUACCUUAAGAAAACUGCAGAUCAUGGUAUGAAGUUUUCAGCAGAUGGGGAAAUGAAGAUCACAGGAUUUACAAAUGCAGAUUGGGCAUGUGAUGUUGAUGACAGAAAAUCAAUAGGAGCAUAUUGCAUUUAUUUUGGAAACAAUCUAAUUUCAUGGUCAUCCAAGAAGCAGGCUGUGGUUACACGAUCCAGUGCAGAGAGUGAAUAUCGUGCUCUGGCUUCUGCAAGUGCAGAGAUAACAUGGAUCCAGUCAUUAUUCAGUGAACUCAACAUUAAGUGUACUUCAUUACCAACUAUCUGGUGUGACAAUAUAAGUGCAACAGAGUUGGCCAAUAAUCCAGUUUAUCAUUCAAGGACUAAACAUAUUGAACUAGAUAUGCACUUUAUUAGAGACAAAGUUUUGGCAAAGGAGUUGGAGAUUAACUAUAUUCCCAGCGAGGAGCAAAUUGCUGAUGCUUUGACAAAGCCUCUGACAUUCAUUCAUUUCAAUUAUUUCAGAGACAAACUCAAUGUGCAACCAUGCCCCUUGAGUUUGAGGGGGGCUGUCAAGGAAGCUCAUUAUGCAUGGAAGGAUGCAGCACACGUGUGAGAUGAAUACAGUCAGCUGAAUCAAUUGAAGAGUGAAGUGCCAGCUCAGCUGAAGUUAGUUAGACACGUUAAGAUCAUAUUCAGUUAGCUUCUUUAUUUUCUGUUAAGCUGUAAACAGCUGAGUAUAAAUACAAGCAUCUUGUAAUCAUUUUGUUAUCAAGUAAAAAUGAAAUAAAGCAUUUGAUUCAGAAGUCUUUUACAAAUUUUCUUAGCACUUUAAAUACAUUUUCUCAGUAACCAAACAGUCUGUUCAUUCAAUCUUUUAAGCUUUCAAACGUUCAACUUCAAGCUUAGUACUUCAGUUAGAAGAAAAGUAUUUGCGCUUUGAUCUCAUCUCAUCAUGUCAACACUGGCAGAACGACAUUGUUGUUCGGUUUUUUGGAAUUUCACCGACGUGUCGGUCAUCAUAAGGGCGAAAGUGCUGGUCAAAAGUGAGUUGGGGUUAGUUAAAAAAUACAGGAAAAUUCUAGGUUGUUAGAGAUAGCCUUUAUCGUAGUUUAUAAGGCUGGUUGAUGGGCCAUCUUCUCAGAUCUCAUCAAAGCAAUGGAGAGAGAGAGAGAGUUGAAAUAGAAAGUUGUAUAUUCUUGUUCUCUGUAACAAGCUCCACAUCCUGGUAACAUUGAUUUGUGAAAUAGUGAAAGCUUGACAACUUAUAUCCUUGUUCUUCACUGGAUGUAGGCACUUUGAUUCAAUUUUUAGUUCGGAUUUCUGAGAAUGAGUCUUCAUACAUCACAUCAAAGAUGGUCUAAGGUGUUUGAUCUUGGUACUGUCAGAGGAUUAAACACAACAAAAAGAAACUGGGGCAUAUUGCCUAAUCUUCAUAAUCUUCAGAUAAAUGGAGAUUAAGCCCUUGUCAAUUUGGGUUGUCCAACAACCCUUGUAAAAUCGAAAACCAGCACUAAUCCUUGGUGAUUUGGAGCAGAAGAUUUAACGAGUAAAGUUCUGAAAGUGGAAUCAUACCAAAGCCCUCUUUUGCAGCAGAGAAAUCCCUGUUUGCAUUAAAAAUGAUCCUUAUAGCCAUUGAGAUUAAUUGAUUAAAUGGAGUUGACAAAUGAAACAAAAACGGAAAAAAAAAAACUUCAAUUCUACCAAAAUCAUUCAACCGUUAUUACCCACUUUGAAUAAAAUUCAACAUCCUUUUUUCUAUUCCUUUCAGGUAAUAAGUUGCUUGUGUUGUUUUUAAUCUCAAUAAGAUAUAUAUCAUCGGCAUAUUGAAGUUUGUGAUUAUUCUAAGAAAAAAUAGGUGCUUUAUUAUUUGAAUUAUCGACAAAAUAAUUUCAUUUCAUUAUUUUGUUAGAUCCACUAUAUGUACAUGUUUGAAUCUUAUUCACAAGGUUUGAUUUCACUCUCACGUUUCAUAUGAUGACAAAUUAGAUAAAAAAAAAUGAAAGCUAGCGUUUCAGUAGCAAUUACAUUAGUAUUUAGCACAUGUUAUUUUGAGUACAAGCACAAUUUGGGUCAUUUUCCAGGACCAACUAUCUUCCAUUUAGAAAUGCAUUGACAAACAGGUUAAUUCGUAAAAUGAUGGUUUCUAGAUAGAAUCUUUCCAAGUUGCACUAACCUCCUUUCCUAAAAGAAUAACGAUCCAGAGGAAAAUGUGAGCUAUAUAGAGAGAGAUUGCUGAUAGAAUAGCUGUAUUUCUUGUUUUUUGCUUUGUACUCUGUAAAAACUCUGUGAUACAUCUUGAAGAAUCAAUAAACGCUAAUCAGAAAUUCCCUCCCAUUGAUGCAAGCUAAUGUAAAUUAGCUGAACCACGUUAAAUCGAUUUGUCCUCUGUUCUUUUAAUUCUUUGAUUCAAUUUGAUCUUAAUUGUUUUUUGUUCUUUCAUCAUCAUCUUGUUUCGAUUCCAUUUUCAAUUGAGCUUCAAAUCAGUUCAUUCUUGGUAGCAUCUUGAUUGAUUGGAUUGUGAUCUUGGACAGCAACUGAGGUAUCUCUGGUGUUAAGCACUCCAGUUGCUACACUGAUGCACUCAAUCAAUAUGCUUUGUUUAUUUACCGAAGAGAUUUGAUUACUGAUAAACUUCAUACUUGCCUGACUCUGAUCCCGUAUAGUGGGUUGAGAGGAUUACAUGGAGAUGCUGUUUAAGCUAAGGCAUAAGGCAGAGAAGCAAGCUAUGGAAGCCAAUUAGGUUGAAGACUGUCAAUAAACAAACAUAAUUCGAUUAGCAGUAGGUCGUUAAUACUUAAUAUUUAACGUGAGGAACAAGUUUUUCAGCCUCGCCUCAGAGUGAUAACUACUUCGACUUUGUCUGUUACUUGGAAACUUUGGUGCCUUCCAUGACAAUCAUUUUGUGGCAGCACAGUGAACGAUUCUGUUGCUUUUGCUUUCAAUGAACAGGGCUACCUUACCAGAUAGGGUUAGCAUUUUAUUAAUUGCAAGUGGUAGCUUAUUUAUUCAUUACUUUUGUCUUCUGUGAAUAUAAAACACUGACUAUGUAAUCAUAAUACUUUUUUAAUAAUGAUUUUGUAAUUAUUUAUUACGCUCCAAGUCAAUAUAUAUCACAUCAACCCCCAAUAUUUUCUCUGCAACUACUUUCUUAUUGUACCCAUUAUCAAAAUUCUAUAAUAAACAUCAUUUAUGUGUAGGAGAAACUAUUGACUAAACUGACAUGCUUGCACUACUGGAGUACUAAGAGAAAGAGUUGUGUAGGUCAACCUAAGAUCAAUUUCAUUCAGCAACAAUAAAUGUUUCAGUGGAUACGUGAUUUUACAUGCCAGUAAGUGGUAGACGUGAUUUUGCAUUUUUCCACAGCUUAAAUUAUUGACGAUCUUGCUCUGUUCUUUUCUUUUCAAAUAGACUUUAUGGUCCCGGUGGAAUUGCUUUGACCUUUUCUUUCUUGAAAGUGGAUGUAUAAUACAUAUUGGUCUUGAUUGAUCCUUGAUCAAGACCUAUUUAUUCUCUUCUGCUUUAUUCUUUUUACAACAUAUGGAGAACAGUGUAUUGUAAGAUUCAUGUACAGCACUGCUCUACCUCGAUCUGUUCUGAUUUGAGAGUCAACAAUCUCAAUUCAAUUUCUUGAAUGGAGUACUAGCUAAGAGAACGAGGUAGGGGAGCUUUAAAGCAUAGUUUCUUUUCAACUCUCUAUUUUUAACUAUUUCUUUGCAUGCUACAGGACUGAUUACAGGGUGGUACUGAGAGAGGAGAAGAUAUGGACAUCAACUUCAGAUUAUUUUCAGAGAGGCUGAGAAGGGUGUUCGCUGAUGAAGAAGUCAUGUUGCCUGAUGCUGCAAAACUACCUAAAAGUAGGGACAUGGUGGGUCUAGAUGAUAGAAUGGAGGAGUUGUUAGAUCUAUUGAUCGAGGGACCACCUUAGCUUUCAGUUGUGGCCAUACAUGAUAGCAUUGGGUUGGACAAGACGGCUUUCGCCGGAGAGGCUUACAACAGCAGUUAUGUGAAGCAUUAUUUUGAUUGUCACACUUAGAUUCGGGAGCCUUAUCCGUAUGAAGCUGACCAAAUAUUAGAUAUCAUUAUUAAGUUUCUGAUGCCUUCAUCUAGGUUGAGCGAAAUCAGUUAAAAGGUUUUCAAAAAGUUGUUCUGCUGUACGGCCAAGGCGGAUGUACGGUACAGCAGAAGCGGUAUUUGAUUGUGAUUGAUGAUGUGUGGAACAUUGAAGUAUGGGAUAUUAUUUGAGAAAUAAUCCCGGAUAAUCAGAAUAGAAGUAGAGUAUUAAUAACACUCACUCAAAUUAAGAUGGUCACCUCAUUUCAACUCGAAGACGGAGAGAACAUUCGGCUUGAUUUAGUGCCCACUGGAGGACCAUUGAGAGCUACAUAUAAAGGAUGGCCUUUCCUCAUCUUAUAUCAUGGAAGCAUCUCAUUUGAAGAAAAUAUAGGGGAAGCAGUGGAGACACCCUAUGUCCUUCGGUACUUCAAAUAUUGCAGGUUACUUUUUUGCUUGAAACUUUGUUUUCUCUACUUAUCUGUGUUUCCUGCACACCUAGAGAUAUCCACCAGGCAGUUAUAUCAGUUUUGGAUAGCUGAAGGUUUCAUCCCAGAGAAUAGUGAGGCAACUGCUGAGAAUUACUUAGAACAACUAAUCAAGGGAGGCUUUGUUGAAGCAAAGAAGAGAAAAGCUGCAGGCACUAUCAACACAUGCUCUAUUCCUGGUCGUUGCCAUCCUGUGUUGAUUACAGUUCCUUAUAGGGUGGAAUUUAUCUUUUCCCCUUUCAUGGAUCCAGAAGGUAAAUCACAAAAAAAUGUCAAACGGUUAAACGCUGUUGAAAGAGAGGGUGAUUUUGCUUGCUUAGAUGAUUAUGACUCGCAACUGCAGUCUUUGUUGUUCUGCUCUCCAGAAACCCGCCACUUUGACCCCAUGGAUUGGGAGAACAUUUGUGGAAUUUUCAAACUUCUCAGAGUAUUGGACUUGGUAUCUCCUGUUCUCAUCCAAUAUCCAUUCCGAAUUGAAAAUUUAUUCCUUUUGAGAUAUUUGAAGUUGAAUAUCCCUUCCCUCAACAGCCUGCCUUCAUCAUUGUUAAGCAAUUUUCUGAACCUCUACACCCUAGACAUGCCCUUUAGCUAUAUAGAUCAUACAGCAGAUGAAUUUUGGAAGAUGAACAAACUUAGGCAUCUAAAUUUUGGGUCAAUCACACUUCCUACGCAUCCAGGAAAAUAUUGCGGCUCUCUGGAAAAUCUCAAUUUCAUUUCAGCCUUGCAUUCUUGCUGCUGUACUGAAGAUAUAUUGGGCAGACUACCUAAUCUUCGAAAUCUCCGAAUACGGGGAGAUUUAAGUUAUAAUCAAUCUUUGUUGUCCAAAAGUCUCUGCAGAUUGAGCUGUCUCGAGUCGUUGAAGAUGGCGAAUGAAAGCAAGAUGCCACGGCUCUCCAAAAUCGUCCUUGCUGAAUACCUAUUUCCUCAUAGUCUAACCCACUUGAUUUUUUCUAAUACUGACCUAAUAGAUGAUCCCAUGCCGACACUAGAAAAGCUGCCGCUUAUUUAAGUGCUCAAACUAAAGCAAAACUCGUAUUCAGGUAGAAAGCUGACUUGUGGUUCUGAUGGUUUUCCAAAUCUCAAGGUAUUGCACCUGAAAUCAAUGCUAUGGCUAGAGGAGUGGACUAUGGGGAUUGGAGCCAUGCCAAAACUAGAAUGCUUGAUUAUCAACCCUUGUGCUUACUUGAAAAAGAUGCCUGAACAGCUCUGGUGCAUAAAGAGCUUAAACAAGUUCGAUUGCUGGUGGCCUCAGCCAGAGCUGAGACAAAAGCUACGGGAAUUUGAGGAUAAGGAACAGUGCGGCAUUCAACUAUAUCCUUACGGAAUUUGAUUAGCCCUUAUUGAAUUUGAUGUAUGUUUCUCGUUUUACCCAAUUUCUUCAAAUUUUAAUUAUUUAUCCAAUUUCAUAUACGUUUUUUCCCCUUGUCUUCAAUACAAAAAUGGUUAUACAAAGUGUUUUCUUUUAAUUUGUCUCAACAUUAAGUACCCUUUAGAGUUUCCGACACUCACCCCAAUCAUCAAGCCCUCUUUAGUAGCAAUGGAGACUUAAGUACUCUUCCACAUAGGGGUGUCAAAAAAACCCCCCCGGACCGGAUCCGGCCCGUACCUGGCCAAUCCGGUCCGGGCAAAACCCGAACUGCAUAUACAGAAAAAGCGGAUCCGGGUUUCAGAAUUUAAAACCCGGACAUAUCCGGGCACGGUCCGGGUUCAGCACCAAAAACUUGGAACCCGGACCUGGACCUGUUUUCCCAAUUAAAAAAAAAAAAUCUAAAACCAGUUACCCAAACCCAAAACUCCCAAAUCCAAAAAUCCCUAAUUCCCCAAAUCGCAAAACACCCAAACCCAAAGGCAUAAGCAGCGACGCUGCCACUGUCACCGUCGGCUAGCACCCACCGUCAGUCCAUCACCGUCACCCCUCGGCACUCGGCAGUCGGCAUCAUCUCUUCUCGUUUGCAUUUGCUGACUCGGUUUUGCUCAGUUGCAGCUAUGACGGGAGUCGUUCGUGCAGCGGCAGCAGCGCAGUGCAGCCCCCUCCUGCGCCGUCAGCGUCAGCGUCUGCGCCACCGUCUCCAACUCUCCAUUGCCACUUUGUCAUCCACCAUCAGUCCAUCACUCUACCAUCACAGCCACCACUACCAGCCACAGGUAUUGAUUUUUUUCCUUCCAUAUUUUGUCUUUCCAGUUGCAUUUUUGCCGAUUGCUUCUCUGUUGGUGUUGGCUGUUGCUAUUCGUGUUUAUUUUCAGCCAAUUUUGUGCAUGGUUGCUGACUUGCUGUUGCUGUGAGGCUAAGUGGUUUUGACCGUAGAAUAUGAGGAAAAUAUGGCCAAUUUUGUGAGGGAUCCUUAUUGCCUGCUCGUGUAAUACUUAAUUUUUAUGAUUUGUAUACGUCCAGCAUUUUGUUAAUUUCUCCAUUUCUUUUUUUCUCCAUCCCGGCCAAUUCCAUUUCAUCUAAAACCAAUCUACAAUGAAUAUAGACAAGUAACAUCUCACUACCUCUACACAUCUAUCAUUUUGCAUUUUACCUGCACGGGAUGAAAGCUAGCUAGAUAAGGUUCACUGGUUUGUAUAUAGUGUAAAAUUUAUUUGAGCCAUCACCAGUCAAGCAGUCAUCACUCUUCAAUUUCAAGAGUCUGAAUAAUCUGGCCCUAAAAUGCAUCAGCAAACGCACACAACAUAUGAUUAUAUGAUGAAACUAGGGGGUUUGUGUCGAGAUUUGUUGGGUUAUACUAUUGAAGUGGAUUUUUAACCACUUCCGCUUAGCAGGCCAUUCUUGACUUAAUCAUCAAUUAAUGUUUAAGUCUUAAAAGAGUUAAUAAUAUAAGUGACGUGUUACAAGAAUUAAUUACCAUUCAUAUUUUAUAUACGUAUUAAUCAAUGCUGACAGCAAAUUUUGUUAGUUAUAUCAGUCAUGAAAGCUUAGACAAAAUUAGGAAGUAAACUUAACAUAUUCAGAAUCUGGGUAUAUAUACUUAACGGUUUCUCUACAUCACUGCAUGGAGAUUGUACGGAUGAAGGAAAAAAAAAGUCAUAAGACUUCAUUAUUUCAGGGCUCAUUGAAAGACAAGUUAUAAUGUUAUAUUACAACUGGUUAUUUGUAUGAUUUUGCUUCUGUUGGCUGUGUGAGCCUCUCUGCCCAGCUUGAUUUGAUUUGGCAACAAAGCAAAACCAGACAAUAUUUUAAUUUUUAUGUUGAAUCCAAAAAUGAUAUCAUCAAAUAAUACAAAUUUGUAUGCCAUUUCCCUGUUUCAGUCAUUUUACUUGGGGGCACUUUACAAAAAUAAUGGUAAAUGAAGAACAAAAGGCAAAGUGCAUGCAUUGUAGUGCAAUUUUAAAAGCAAAAUACCAAUCUGGGACUUCAACUUUGAAUAGACACGUGGCAAUGUGUUUUAAGCAGAAUCAACCAAACAUAGAAGAAGCACUUCAAGGAAGCCUUAAAGUGAUUAAAAGAGAGGAUGGAACUUGUGGCAUUAGUUAUGGCAGUUUUGAUCAAAAUGUUUUACGGAGUUUGAUAGCAAGAAUGGUUAUAAUGCAUGAGCUUCCACUUAGAUUCGUGGAAUAUAUAGGCUUCCGAGAAAUGAUGGCACAUGCUAACCCCGUGGUUAAGCCAAUGAGCAGAAACACUUUGAAGAGCGAAAUCUUGAAGUUAUAUCAAAUCGAGAAGGUUAAGACUUUGCAUUUAUUGGGGAAAAAUCAUGGUAGAGUGGCCAUUACUACAGAUUUAUGGACAGCUAGUAAUCAGAAAAAGGGAUAUAUGGUCGUGACGGCCCAUUUCAUUGACAAUUCUUGGAAAUUACAUAGUCGAAUUUUAAGGUAAUUUGUCUAUAAUUUUUUAUUUGCUUAAUUUUUCUUUUAAGUUUAUUAUUACUUAUAUUAGAUUUUUUUCAAGUUUAAAUUGUAAUAUAUUUUAAGUUUGUGUAUUUAAUACCGACUUUUGAAUAUUUGAUAGGUUCAUCUAUGUUCCAAGUCCCCAUACUGCUGAUGCCCUAUGUAAUGAGUUAGUACAAUGCCUAUUGGAUUGGAACGUGGAUAGAAAGUUAUCCUCAGUGACAUUGGAUAAUUGUACCACUAAUGACGCAAUGGUGGAGAAAUUGCUGUUAAGGUUUGAUACCGAUACCUUAAUUUCUAGUGGUAAAUUUUUUCAUAUGAGAUGUACUGCUCAUAUAUUGAACUUGGUUGUGCGGGAUGGGUUGAAAGUUAUAAAAAGUGGGAUUGGAAAGAUUAGAGAGAGUGUGAGUCAUUUUGUGCUUGACCCAAGAUAUAAGAUGAUGUUAAUUCAUUUUUAUUUUCCAAAGAUAUAUGGGGAUACAGCAGAUGAGCUUAUUGAGUGUGCACAUAAGCUUUGUUAUGAUUUAGUGAAAGAAUAUGAAUCGAAGGCAGCGCAUGUGAGUGGUGGGCAGAAUGUUGGAUUGGAAAUUUCUCGUUCUGAAUCUUGUUUGAAUUCGAAUAAGUAUUGGGAUGUAGAUGAGUUUGAAACAUUUCGAAGCCAAAAUAAACGUGCUAAGGUAACUAAGUCGGAGUUGGAUAGGUAUUUAGAUGAGGAAUUGUUGGAUUCCAUUCCGGACUUUGAUAUUUUAGCUUUUUGGAAGAUGCACACAAGCCAAUAUCCUAUUUUGGCUGAGUUAGCUAAGGAUAUCUUAGCCAUUCCUGUAUCCACCGUUCCCUCUGAGUCAGCUUUUAGUGCCGGGGGCAGAUUUUUGAGUUUGCAUCGUAGUAAACUUCUUCCUGACACUUUAGAAGCCUUAAUGUGUGCUCAAAAUUGGAUUUGGGCUUCUACUUUUCGAGGUAUAAAGUUAUUUGAAUUAUAAUGUGUUAGUAUUUAUUUGCUUAAAAUGCUUUGAAUUUUAAUGUGUUAUUUUUGUUGUAAGGUGGAGUUCCGGAGGAUGAGAUUUUUACUGGGGAGGAGGUAAUUUCGGAUGAUGAUGAUAAGCCACAAGUGUCGACAAGUAGACAUGAACGUUUAUUUAUUUAUUUGGAAUUAGACAUGAACUUGUUAUUUAUUUAUUUUACAUGGGAGUGUUUUGACUCUUUUAUGAACUAUUUUUUGAGUUGUUGAACAUUUUAGGAUUUUCAUGUGUUGUAUUGAUAAUUGGUGUCAUAAUUAUGAACUUAUGAUAUGUUGGAUGUUAUUUAGAUUUAUUGUGUUAUUGAAUUUAAUUUUUUUUUUAUAUAGAUUGAAUGAGUUUAGGUUAGAAGUUAGAUGAAUUUUUAUUUAUUAUUUGUGCAAAAUUUGUAUUGUUAGUAUGUUAUAAGUUUGUAUUUAACUAUUUUUCUAAUUUUUCUUUGACUUAAGUUUGAGAUUUAUCUUGUAUUAUGAUACACAAGAAAUGUGCAUGCAUGUUGUAUUGUUGUUUCACUUGUUUGGUGAUAUUUAUUUUGGCUGCAGCUGCAUUAGCUUAUCAAGUGAAUUAUAAAGUUGUUUCCGAGUCAAUAACAAGUUGUUGUGCCGACUGCAGAGUGCAGAUGUACAUGUACACACAUUAACGGAGGACUAAGCUUAUGUUUAAUUAAUUAAGUUGCUUGGUGCAUGCCACUUACCAUCUGCCGCUUUGACAAUUAUUGGAUAACUUCUACCAAUCUGUUACAUCUUAAUCAAAUUUAUUUUCAAUUUAGGAUAGUUGUAUGACUCUGCUGAUUAAAAGGGAGCCAUUGUUUAUUUUCAAUCUGUUACAUCUUAAUAAAAAUGAAAGAAUUUUUUUUUUUGAAAGAUUUGUUUGCGGGCUUAGAAGCCCGGAAGACAAAACCCAAACCCGGACCCGGGACACGCCGGGCUCAAGCCCGGACCGGACAUGCAAAAACCGGGUUUUGUCCGGGUCCGGGUUUCAAUUUUUGGCAUCCGGUCCGGUCCCGGGUUGCACCAAACCCGGACCGGACCCGGGGUUUUGCCAAGCCUACUUCCACAUUCAACCAUGAGCCUAGCAGCCAUCGGCGUUCAUUUGUUUUAAUAGUUAAGGAAAAAAAUGUAAUUUAAAAUUCUUAUUUUUCACAAUUUCUUCAAUGACUUGUGAAGGUGAAAUCAGAGAAGAAAACAUCAUAACUGCAGCCCGAACUUCAAUUUCAACCGGAAUCCUUUCCGUCUUCACUUCUACUGUCUACACAAAUAAAUCCUGAUCCUACGGUGGUGGACAUUUUUUUUGGUUUCUUUGUUUCCGCUGUCUAUUCAUAAAUAAGAAGUUUCGUUUCGGAUUUUUCAGUUGAGAGUUCAUUGAUUUGUGCUUCAGCCUCGGUUCGUUAAUUGUGUACAAAAAAUAAAUAAUAUUUGUGAUGCUUUCUGCUGUUGGGUUCAGUUGAAUGUAUUUUCUGUCUUUGUUCUGUUGCUUGCUCUGAAAUCCUGUUUCAGAGGCUGGGCAAGUCUGGCACUCAAUAUGUUUCGUUUAUUUCUAGAAAAGAUUGAUUAUUCAUGAACUUCACACUUGGCUGAAUAUCUUAGUAAACGUUCUUGUGGAGAAAUCCUAAUACCCACUUAGGCACUACAAUAAGGCAGAAAUACUAAUACUGCUUUACAUGUGUUGAUUGAUUAAUAGCUUUGUUCUCUGCUGCUCUUUCUUUAUCUGAUGCAGAAAAUUCCUUCAAGAAUCAAUAUGAUUGCUAGUUGGUACUAACUAUAGAAGUACUCCUCCUUUGGCCCAUUCCAUGGAAUAUGGAAGACAUAUUUCUGAGACUGAGCCACGCUUCAUUACCUUCCCAGAGAAAAUUGAAGUUUGGGCUGUGUACAUGGGACUGGAAUGAAGAGCGGCAGCAAAAUGAUUAAAAUAAUUGCCAUUUAGAGGGGCAUUUUUGUGACUACUGAUGUGUCCCUCUAAUGGUUCAAUAAAUUGAAACCACGUCUAAUGAAAGGCUAGAAAAAGGCCGUGUUAUAGAAAGCAGCGACUCUCAAUAAUAGAAUUUUGCGUGCAAGUGUGUGCAUUCGAGAACGCAAGUAUAAGUUUUUGUAUAGCUAUAGCCUACGGUAUAUGCGCGAGCAUCUAAUAUAUACUUUGCAGUGAGCAUUAGCACGACAUCAAAUAUUUUUAGUAGAGCAUGCAUGAGAAAAAAUAAAUAAAUGUAGAAAUUGAAUUUGGUUUGUUAGCAUUCCAUUACUUGGCCAAUUUUCAUUACUUGGCCAAUUUCCUUAACAUUGAAUGAUUGAAUAAAUUUUUAAUUUUUCGUUUUUAAGAGGUUAUUAGAUUUGUUUGGAGGUAAAUUUUGAAGGACAUUUAUGGACUAGUUGAAAGCUGACAUGUGGUAUAAGAAUAAUAAAUAAGAAGUUGAACGCUAAAAAAAAAAAUGACAACUCGACUGUCCUACACAAGCCAAUCAAGGAAAAAAAUAAAGUUUGGUAAAUUUAGCGUCAUGUGAAGAGCAAGCUCAUUUGAUAUUUGAGUAAAGAGGUGCCAUGCAGUAGAAAAGAUUAAACUACCCUAUGGUACCCAACCUAAAUAUAUUCACUUAAAAGGGACAAGAGAAGGACUCCAUUUUUCUUUUUCUUUCUCUUCAACUCUCUUGAGCUCGAGUCACAACUUGUAAUUGAUUCAAUUCAAAUCAGAAAAUUCAAUGAAAAAAACAACCAACCAUAAGUUAAAGUAUUGGAUAUGCCUUUCCAGAAAAAAAAGGCUUUGAACAUCCAGUAACAUUUCACCUUCUUCUUUCGCCAGAAAAUCAGCUCUAUGAGUUGGUUUUCCGGCGAAACCUUAUUUUUUCAUUCCUUUUUUAUUUUCUUUACUUAUUUUCUCCACUCAGAUCCUCAUAUCUGUGGUGGUUUUGUUCUUUUACUCAGAUUUUCAAAUCUGUGGUGGUAUGUCCUUCCACUCAGAUCUAGAGAUCUAUGGUGGUUUAUUAUUAUUUGUCUACCCAGAUUUAAAAAUCUGGGGUUGUUCAUUUUAUUUUGCUUGGUUUUGUAUUUUAUGAAGCAAAAUUUUGAGAAGAAAAGUUUCUACUUUGUGGAAAGUAUUGCAACGGCAGAUCUGAUGGAUGCCUUUAAGAGACUUAAGAAAUUUGGGCAAAGUUUUUGUAAAGAAGAAAUUAUCUAUGAUGCAUCAAAAGUGGAGUCCCCUCCCUGCUCAUGUUGUAAAGGCUCAGCUUUUCAAAGAGUAAGAAAGACAAAGCCUUCUCAUAUUGCCCACCCCAGAGGAGAGAAACAACAGAAGUGGUUCCCUCCCCCUGAAAAUAUUUUCAAAAUUAAUGUGGAUGUUGCCAUCAAUACUAAGAAUCAGAUUGCAGGCGUGGGAGCAGUGAUUAUAGAUUCUAAUGGCAAGAUAAUUGCAGUCGGUAUUAAUCAGAUUCAUCUUAAGGGACCAAUCAGUUUGGCUGAGGCAGAGACUAUGCAAUGGGGGCUUCAAUUGGCAAAAGAAGCAUAUUUAACCUCCUUGAUCAUUAAGUCAGAUUGCUUAGAGGUGGUUCAACUUGUAAACAACACCAAGGGCAGCAUAACAGAAAUUUUUUGGACAAUUCUGGAGAUCCGAAAUCAGUUAAAAGGUUUUCAAAAAGUUGUUGUUCAUCACAUUCCAAGACAAUGUAAUGCUUAUGCCCACUCCCUAACUAAGUUAGCUUUGGGAAGAAAUUCUUCUUCUAUGUGGUUAGGAAUUAUUCCAGCCGAGAUUCAAGUUGUAUUUGAGGUGUUGUGAUUUAUGAAAUGUUUACUUUCUUUUCAAAAAAAAAAAAAAAGUGUUGGAUAUGCCUAUUUAUCCUCUAAUAAUUACUUUAAAUACUUUAUUGUUCUACAAACUCAUCUAUUAAAUUAAAAAAAAUAAGUUAUACUUAGUACGGUCUUUAAAAUACUAAAAAUUCUGAAGCACGUUAAAUUAAUUACAUUUAUUUACUCAAAACAAUACUCAAAGAAAAUUCUUUAAAAAAAUUAAGCAUAUAAUACUGAAGUUUUUAUUGACAAAUUGACAAAUCCUAAUAUAAUUUAUUUCUAUCCCCUACCUAAUCCAAAUUUAAACUUGGAGUGAUUAAGAGAAUAAUAAUAAUAAUAAAUUGUUUAGAAAACCACUAACCACAUCCUAUAUCAUCAUAUCAUAUCAUAUGCAUUUUGUUACAAAUUAGGAUCCAGCUACGGUACCACCGUGGUACGGUACCACUGGUUUUGUCUUUUGUGCCAGCUGUGUUGUAAAAUUUCAUUGAACCCCUUUCAUUUAUUUUUAUUUAAACUUUACCUCAUAAAUAUUAAAUUAAUUUCUAUUGCAUCCAUAUAAACAUUAUAAUUAGCACCUUAUACUAUUUGUUAUUUAUACAUUUUUCUUCUAUAUUACACCUUGAUCACAAUACUCCUCUCUUCAUCUCCAUGCCAUCCUUGUCGCCGUAAAGCAUUCGGAAAGCUGCCGAUCGAAACCGUGAAAAGUCACAGAAUCCCCGCUUCAAUUUGCCGCAGUUUCUCCGGUUUCCGGUGACGCCACCACUUGAGUUUUGUUCUCCAUAAUUCCUUCUGUCUUUUUUGGCCAACCACAGCCACCGGAGGAGCCGAUUUGCCGUUGACCGGCCGUCGAAGGAUUCACGGAUUUGGGAGAAAUGAACUUAAUAUUUGUGAAGUAAAAUUCAAAUAAAAAUAAGUGAAAGGAUUUCAUGAAAUUUUACACAAAAAAGGCAAAAGCGGUGGCAUGGUGCACUGUUGCACGAUAGGUGAGUCCUACAAAUUAGUUAUUAAUAUUUUGAUAAUUUAGUGACCCUCAUUCAACCGAAAUUGGGUAACUUUUUGUAAUGGGGAAGGUAUUCGCAUCCAACACGUUAUCUCUAAACGUACCCGACCCAGCAGCAUUCGAGUCAUGGCUACGCAAGUCCGGCUACCUCGAAAUCCUCGACACCGCCACCACGAACAUCCUUCUUAUCAGAACGUUCUCAAACCUGAGCCCUUGCGAAACUGUUCCUGCUGAACAAAAUUCUCCACAAGCUACAAUGGAUGCUGCAGUUCCCUCAGUUCCUGACCUAUGCUCUUUUCUCAAUGCUUUUCUUGCUGCCUAGGUUUGUUGGAGGAAUUGCUUCUUCGGGAUCUCCAUUUCAAGGAAUUAUUCCUACUCCAGGGCUGUCUUCUCGUUUUUGGUCAUUUUCAAUUUCCAGGGGUCUCCAUUUUUGCAAACCCUACAAGGUAUUUGUUAUAUGGAUUGUAGAACCAGAGUCAAUCCACCAUGUGUUAUGAUUAACAUCAACCAUAUUAGAUUCAUAACAAACAAAAGAGAUUGAUUUAUCUUUCUUUUCAAUCCAUUUUUGAAAUUUGGGGCAAUCCUUCUUCACGUGUCCUUUCUUUUUACAAAAAAAACACUUAGAUUGUUUUUUAAUUUCUUCCUGGGAGGUAUUUUACCUUUCCCUUUCCUUUUGGCUUGAAACUUGUUCUUUCCUUGUGUUACAGUAUAUGCACCUUCACCAACUUCCAUUAUCAGUCUCCCUUCCUCUUGAACACACAUGGUUAUCAGUUCAUUAAUUGAUCAUUUAUCCUUAUGCGUGCUAUAGGAAAUUUUGAAAGGUCCAUAUUGUUGUGGAAGUGUAUUCACUAUGUAAUGCACAAGAAAGGUUUCAGACAUACAUAUCAACCUCAAGAAGUUUCAACUGAGCCGCAAUGUCCCUCAUCUGCACGAUGUGCUCACGCACACCUCUAAUACUGGUGAGCUUCAUAGAUGAAAACUUCAUUAUUAGGGUGCUUGCAAGUGUCUUAUCUGAAGUUACAAAUUGCUCAUCAAUUGCCUUCAGUAAUGCCCGGACAUCAUUAUGCUGAUCAACUGAACCACGAAUAGCAGCAGAGAUUUUGGUCUUUAUGAACAUCACACUGAGGCGAUUAGAUCGCUCCCAUUUUUCAUAAAGAGCAAUAUCGACUUCAGUGAUGUUAUCAUUAAUAAGUGGUUCGUCUUUCCGAAUAGCAUAAUCAAUAUCCAUCCAUCCUAAAUGAAGAAGAAUUCCCUCUUUCCAAACUUUAUAAUUAUCACCAUUUAACUCGGGAAUAUCACACUUGAUUUCAGAAAAACUCGAAGGUUGUACCUGCUGUACGGCCAAGGCGGAUGUACGGUACAGCAGGACCUUAAGAAAUGUAAAGAGAAAGGGUUUAUAUGACUAAGAUUGUGGCAAAACAGUUUUAAGUUCCAUUAAUCAGUGGAAGAAAAAAAUGUCAUACUUUUGGGAGAAUAUGGAGUCUAUGACCAAUCGACACAGGGUUCAAGCAUGGACUUCAGGAGUUUCUAGCUAGAAUAAGCAUUGUGAUUUGAUUUCUUUCCGCUCAAAGGGUCCUAACCAUAAAACGAGCAAGAAAAUUAGCAUGAAAUAGUACUGUGCUAGAGCAACUGAUUUAUGAUACAUUUCUCGUUACCCCUAAAUAUGAAUGUGUGCACUUCUGCUUCUAUACUUAUGUUCUUGCCUUCUCUGGAUGAGUUUUGCUUUAAACUUUCCUUGGCAGGUCUUUCCAUUAUACUACUGUCUAGCUGUUGAUAAAUAGUGGAAUUCUUUCAUCGACUUCACAGUAGUAAUUACAUCUCAUCUAUGCAGCUACAUUGGUUGUUCUUAUGCUUCUGAAUGUUCAGAUGGCUCUAUUCUGUGCACUUGCUAUCAGUUAUGUUGGUAAAUAUUAGAAACUCUUCUUCAUCUUUUAUGAACGUUGCCUUUGCUUAGAGUGAGCUAACAAUUAGUCUACUGCAUUGUAGUCAUGAUUUUGCAUGCUGCAUUUCGUAAGCUCUCUGCUUCAAAGCAACCUUCUCGGAUCAGAUGAAAUCCGAUUUUCCAAACAAAGGUUCCUCAUUGAAGAAAUUUAAAGAUUCGGAAGCAAUUAGCUCAUAAGACUUCUACAGAAGCAAUGAAGAGCAGGGUACCCUAUAAAAGAUGAGAAAUUACUGCAACAAAACCUCGAAAGGGAGUGAGAUGAUCAUACUGGUGGUGUACUCCACUCGGGCACAAUCCAUAGUCAUUUUGUCACCUCAACGGGAGGACAUGACUCCUGCAACAUGUAAGAAAAGAGAAUAAAAUUGUCAUAACAAUAAUUCCAAUUAUACCAUUGUGAUAGAGAGAAAAACGAGAGCAUGCAUAUGGAAAAAAAUUUAAUUUUUAAAUUUCUAAGUUGUCAAAUCGAGGUUUGAUUUCUGAAUUUUUUACUUGUCAAGUGGAUUAAAUUCCCCCCGUAUAUAAUGUCUAGAGAAACUCAUGAAUCUAAACAAACCAAACCCAUAUUAAAUUUAAUAAUAUCAUUAUCCACAGACUCUCAGUUUUGCACUUUUGCUUACAUAAACAUUAUGGAACUUAAACUUAAAUUCACAUUUUUCAUCACUCUCUUGGUGGCCUCAUGUUUGUUCCUUAAUCUUAUUUUCCUCAUCUUUUUAAUGCAUGCAUAAUUAACUAUAAUAUGACAACUAAUUGGCUGGCAUUUAUAUAUGCAGGCGUGUUAUUAGCUUUAGGCUAAUUAAUUGUUUGGCAUUUAUAUAUGCAGGUGUGUUGUUUGAUAUUUCCAUGCCGGCAGUUGAUGCUCAACCGGAAUCAAAAGCAGUCACUUGUAAAAGCAAUGCCGACUGUGACAAUCCCUGUCAGUCGUUUCGAAUGCGAUCUUGAUACCCAUCUCUGCGUUUGUGUUCGUGGCCGCAAUUCGACGGGUUGUUGAAGAGAUUAAAGCUUGUAUUGCAAGUUCUAGUGAUAUUUUGGAUGCUGAAUUGCAAAAUUUGUAACGUUACAAUCUUUGUUCCGUUUCUUACAUCAUAUGUCAAAUAAAAGUAUCAACUAAGAUUGCUGCCUCUCUUCUGAUAUGCAUACUAAAAUUGUGUACAAAAAUUUACAAAUCAUCUCCAUUUGAUUGGUCCUAUUAUACAAUGUUGUACCAUACAUUUGGAGAAGUUUUUAAGGCUUGGAAUUAUACAAUUUUUAAAAUUUUCAGUAUUUUUUUGGCUUUCGAGCUGGGUUUGGACUUUUUAGCCGGAGCCCAAGACCAGCCAGAAUACUUAGAAAACAUGCUCUAGCUAGACUUGAUUUUUCUGCCAUUCCUACUUAGAUUCCAUUAUCAUUGAUUUCAUUGAUGGAUUGUUAUAUUUUUCACACUAAGGGCUCAAAUGAAAAUAAUUAUAAAUAGUGUCUUAUGAUGUAAUCCUUUUAAAAAGGUGAGAGUUCAUAUAUAUACUGAUAUUUGAAUAAAAAAAUGAUAGAGUAGUGAGAAAACAACUAUAAAUUUUAUUUAUAAUGUUAAAUAAAAAAUUAUAACUAUUUUUCAAUUAACAUUGUAACAUUGCACAAUUUAUUAUUAUUUUUGUCACCCGUUGUUAGAACUCUUUAUCAUUUUUCAUUUCUUAAAAAAGAAUGCUAAAAGGAAAAUUGAACAUAUAUUAACUAUAAAAUUUUACAAACGAUUUAGUACUUUCUCUAAAUCAUUGAAGAAAUAAGACAACAUCACACAUGAUUAAGAAUGCAUAUUUAUUUGAGUAAUUUUACAUUUAUAACCCUGGGAUACAAAUUUUAUUUGUGAUAUAGAUACAUGCAAGUCCCGCAAUAAAUUUAACAAUUAACACCAGACAUGAUUUUGCAUUCUUCCACAGCUUAAUUAUUAAAUAAUUGAUAACGCUCUUGUGCUUGCUCCGUUCUUUUCUUUUCAGACAAGCUUUUAUAGUCCCAGUGGAAUUGUUUUCACCCUUCCUUUCUUAAAAGUGGAUGUAUAAAACAAAUUGGUCUUGAUCGAUACUUGACGAUGUCCUGUUUAUUUUUCUCUGCUUUAUUCUUUUUUCACCAUAUGGGAGACGAGAUUAUUGUGAGAUUCUGCCUUGAUCUGUUCUAAUCUGAGAGUCAACGAUCUUGAUUCAACUUCUUGACUGGAGAACUAGCUAAGAGAAGGGAGGUACGGGAGCCAGCACUAAUGUUUGAAUUGUGAGCUUUAAAGCAUAUUUUCUUUUUCCCCUCUCUCUUUUAAUUAUUUCUUUGCAUGCUACAGGACUGAUUUCAGGGUGAAUCUGAGAGAGGAGGAGAUAUGGACAUCAGCUUCAGACUAUUUUCAGAGAGGCUGAGAAGGGUGUUAGCUGGUGAAGAAGUCAUGUUGUCUGAUACUGCGAAACAACCUAUUCACAACCUUAAUGCGGAGGUUGAAAUCGUUACUUCUUGGCUGAGGGAAUUUGAAGAUGAUAUCUCCUGCCUUCUGUUCCAUAAAAUAGCAGAGGAGGAAAUUGAUGACCCAGAUUUUGGGACCAUUAUGGAUGAAAUCAAUUGCUUUACGUAUGAAUCUGGGAAGGUUAUUGACACACUCAUAAACAGCAUCACUCAACAGAAGAGUCAAAGCAGAUACAACAAGGACAUUUGUGAUGCUCUGCAAGGACUCCAAAGCAGAAUCACUGAGAUUAAGCAACGGGUUCAACAACUUAAGCACACCGAUCCCAAAAUCAUGGACAACUUCAGAAGUGUUGAAGCUGAAUCAGGUUAUUUUCCUGCAUCUUCAUCUUCUAAGAAUAGGAACACGGUGGGCCUAGAUGAUAGAAUGGAGGAGUUGUUAGAUCUAUUGAUCGAGGGACCUACUCAGCUUUCGGUGGUGGCCAUACUCGAUAGCAUUGGGUUGGACAAGACGGCUUUCACUGCGGAGGCUUACAACAGCAGUUAUGUGAAGCAUUACUUUGAUUAUCUCGCUUGGAUUCCAGCGCCUUAUCAAUAUGACCCUGACCAAAUAUUAGAUACCGUUACUGUGAUUCUAUUGCCUUUUUCUAUGUUGAGUAAAAUAAAGGAUAAAGAUUAUGAAAUGAAAAAAAAUUAUUCUUGGUGAAUAUCUAAUGACUAAGCGGUAUUUGAUUGUGCUUGAUGAUGUGUGGGGCACAGAGCUAUUGGAUGUUAUUCGAGAAAUACUUCCGGAUAAUCAGAAUGGAAGUAGAGUGCUAAUCACACUCACUCUAAUUGAGAUGGUCACCUCAUUUCAGUUCGAAAAUGGAGAGAACGUUCGCCUUGAUAUAGUGCCCACUGGAGGACCAUUGAGAGUUACCUACCAAGGAUGGCCUUUCCUCAUCUUAUAUCAUGGAAGCAUCUCAUUAGAACAAAAUAUAGAGGAAGCAAUCGAGGGACCCAUGGGGCGUCUAACCGUCAUAUCUUGCAAGCUACCUUUUCACUUGAAACCUUGUUUUCUCUACUUAUCUGUGUUUCCCGCACACCUAGAGAUAUCCACCAGGCAGUUAUAUCAGUUGUGGAUAGCUGAGGGUUUCAUUCCAGACAACAGUGAGGCAACUGCUGAGAAGUACUUAGAGCAACUAAUCAAUAGAGGCUUUGUUGAUGCAAGGAAGAGAAGAGCUUGAGGCACUAUCAACACAUGCUCUGUUCGUGGUCGUUGCCGUCCUGUGUUGUUAACAGUGGCUUUCAAGGCGGAAUUUAUCUUUCUCUCGUUCAUGGAUUCAAAAGGUAAAUCACAAAAGAAUGUUAAACGGAUCAACGUUUUUGAAAAACAGAGUGAUUUUGUUCACUUAGAUGAUUAUGACUCGCACAUGUAUUCUUUAUUGUACUUCACUUCGAAAAGCGACCAC
rnacentral:lncRNA from 1 species